rnacentral:rRNA from 1 species
AUUGAACGCUGGCGGCAGGCCUAACACAUGCAAGUCGAGCGGAUGAGGAGAGCUUGCUCUCUGAUUUAGCGGCGGACGGGUGAGUAAUGCCCAGGAAUCUGCCUGGUAGUGGGGGAUAACGUUCCGAAAGGAACGCUAAUACCGCAUACGUCCUACGGGAGAAAGCAGGGGACCUUCGGGCCUUGCGCUAUCAGAUGAGCCUAGGUCGGAUUAGCUAGUUGGUGAGGUAAUGGCUCACCAAGGCGACGAUCCGUAACUGGUCUGAGAGGAUGAUCAGUCACACUGGAACUGAGACACGGUCCAGACUCCUACGGGAGGCAGCAGUGGGGAAUAUUGGACAAUGGGCGAAAGCCUGAUCCAGCCAUGCCGCGUGUGUGAAGAAGGUCUUCGGAUUGUAAAGCACUUUAAGUUGGGAGGAAGGGUUGUAGAUUAAUACUCUGCAAUUUUGACGUCACCAACAGAAUAAGCACCGGCUAACUUCGUGCCAGCCGCCGCGGUAAAAC